rnacentral:rRNA from 1 species
CCUACGGGUGGCAGCAGUGGGGGAUAUUGCACAAUGGCGGAAACCCUGAUGCAGCGACGCCGCGUGAGUGAAGAAGUAUUUCGGUAUGUAAAGCUCUAUCAGCAGGGAAGAAAAAAGACGGUACCUGACUAAGAAGCCCCGGCUAACUACGUGCCAGCAGCCGCGGUAAUACGUAGGGGGCAAGCGUUAUCCGGAUUUACUGGGUGUAAAGGGAGCGUAGACGGCAAUACAAGUCGGAAGUGAAAUCCCCGGGCUCAACCUGGGAACUGCUUUGGAAACUGUAUGGCUGGAGUGCUGGAGAGGUAAGCGGAAUUCCUAGUGUAGCGGUGAAAUGCGUAGAUAUUAGGAAGAACACCAGUGGCGAAGGCGGCUUACUGGACAGUAACUGACGUUGAGGCUCGAAAGCGUGGGGAGCGAACAGGAUUAGAUACCCCAGUAGUC